rnacentral:rRNA from 1 species
UACGUAGGUGGCAAGCGUUGUCCGGAAUUAUUGGGCGUAAAGCGCGCGCAGGCGGUCUUUUAAGUCUGAUGUGAAAGCCCACGGCUCAACCGUGGAGGGUCAUUGGAAACUGGGGGACUUGAGUGCAGAAGAGGAAAGUGGAAUUCCAAGUGUAGCGGGUGAAAUGCGUAGAGAUUUGGAGGAACACCAGUGGCGAAGGCGAC